rnacentral:tRNA from 1 species
AAAACACUAGUAAAACCGACAAUUACACUGCCUUGUCAAGGCAUAGUUGCGGGUUUGAAUCCCGCGUGUUUUA